rnacentral:siRNA from 1 species
UCUUAGGCUGUGAAUGGUGACCA